rnacentral:rRNA from 1 species
AACCGGGGGUAAUUCCCGAUUACUCUGUGUACCUCCUGGUUGAAAAAUUGAAGGAUGGUUUGGCCUUUCGUUAUGGGAUGAGCCGGGUUCCCUUAAGUUAGUUGGUGAGGUAAGGGUUCACCAGGGCGACGAUCCGUAGCGGCCUUGAGAGGUUGUUCGGCCACACUGGAAUUGAGCCACGGCCCAGAUUCUUACGGGAGCCACCAGUGGGGAUUUUUCCCCAAUGGGCGAAAUCUUGAUGAAGAAACGCCGCUUGAGUGAAGAAGGUUUUGGGUUGGUAAAAUUUUUUGGUAGGGGAGGACCAACUAUAGUUGAAUACGGUGGCACCUUGACGGUACCUAACCAGAAAGCCACGGCUAACUACGUGCCAGCAGCCGCGGUAAUACGUAGGUGGCAANACGNUGUCCGGAAUUAUUGGGCGUAAAGCGCGCGCAGGUGGUCUNCUUAAGUCUGAUGUGAAAGCCCACGGCUCAACCGUGGAGGGUCAUUGGAAACUGGGGGACUUGAGUGCAGAAGAGGAAAGUGGAAUUCCAUGUGUAGCGGUGAAAUGCGUAGAGAUNUGGAGGAACACCAGUGGCGAAGGCGACUUUCUGGUCUGUAACUGACACUGAGGCGCGAAGAGCGUNGGGAGCAAACAGGAUUAGAUACCCUGGUAGUCCACGCCGUAAACGAUGAGUGCUAAGUGUUAGGGGGUUUCCGCCCUUUAGUGCUGAAGUUAACGCAUUAAGCACUCCGCCGGGGGAGUACGGCCGCAAGGCUGAAACUCAAAGGAAUUGACGGGGGCCCGCACAAGCGGUGGAGCAGGUGGUUUAAUUCGAAGCAACGCGAAGAACCUUACCAGGUCUUGACAUCCUCUGAACUCCCGUAAAAUUAUGGUUCCCCUUUGGGAGGCUACUGUCAGGUGUGGCGCGGGGGUGUCCUCCUCUCGUGUCGAGAGAUGGGGUGAUAUCUCGCACCAAGAGCGCCCCUGGAGAUCAUUUGCGCCCUCUUAUAGUGGGACUCUCAAGUGACAGCGCGUGACACACCCGAGGAAAGUGUGGAUAUCAUCUCAUCUCCUCGCGCCUUAUGAGACGGGGGACACACGUGUGAUACUGGGCAGUACACAAAGGUUUGCCACCUCGAGAGAGAGCUCUUAUCAUAAAAACGUUUUCUCUUCUGAUAGUAUACGCCGACUCUCCUACAUGUAACUCGAAACUCUCUUAAACUCGGAUAUCCACGUGCCGCUGAAAACAUUUUCGGGGCUUGUGUACACCGCGCGUGUCACACCGAGAGUUUGUGUCACCCCCAAAUCUCUGAGGUGAACCUUUUUGAAACCCCCCCCCAAAGGGGGAAAAAAGAAUUUGGGGGGAAAACCUUUCACGGUGACGCCUAUGUGAAAGGCGGCUGAGGAACCCCCCCCUUAAAAAUGGUUGGCCCGUGCGCUUUUGGUUGUGGUCCCGC